AAAGUAUGCUGCAAUUUGAGAGUAAAACAUUCAGCGCCUAGUAAGUUUGUUGAAUAAAUGAAUGAAUGAAUAAGAAAAAGAAAGACACUGGAACAGAAACGGAAGAGCAAAGUUCAAAAGAAAAGAGAAUUUUUAGGCACUGCCAAGAUCUGCACAAAAGUCACAGAGAAAGACACAUGAGAAAAGGUCACUUGAUUUGGCAAGAAGUAGGUCAUCGGCAGAAUUUAGAGACACUUCUGUAAUGUGGUGGUAACAGAAUCCAAAUAGAAGGGAUUUAAGAUAAGAAUGAGUGGAUGGGAAGUGCAUGCGGCAAAUGGCAACUAUGUAUUUGAAAGGACUGGCUGUGAACUGAGGAGAGAGAGAGAGUUCAAUUUCUAGAAGGGAAAGCAAGUUCUACAAGCAUAUGAAUGAAGCCAUUAGCAAAGGAAAGAGAAAGACCUGAAUAACAAAUUUAGCUGAUUCUGAGGCAGAUUCUACUUCCUGUGUGCAGAAAAUUUACGAAGAAGCCAUGAAUCUCUGGAAACAUUCUGGAAACCUAGGAUUGAAGUAUAAAAUCUAUGGAGUUUCCUUCUGUCGCUGGCUGGAGUGCAAUGGCAUGAUCUUGGCUCACCACAACCUCCAGCUCCCGGAUUCAAGAGAUUCUCCUGCCUCAGCCUCCCAAGUAGCUGGGACUACAGAAUCAUGUUGUGAAGGUCAAGAACCGUGAAGAUGCUGAAAUUUUUACCCUACUUACGAAACCAACAUGUUAGUUCCGUGGAUGGAGUUCCACGAUGCUGGAAGAAGACAUGAACUCCUGGGUCAGAGAUAAAGGACUUUACUUAAGGAAGAGCAAGCAGCGUGAGUUUUGUAUUAGCAUCAGUUCUUGUCUCUUAAGUCCCAUGGGGGUGAUGCAGAUGGGCUCAGAUGGAUGCCUGCAUAUACACUGUAAUGGGUUGCAUUAUAGGAGAACCCUGAACUUGGGGAAACUGAAUUGUUUAUAUUGGGCAGUAAGUAAACCUGCCUUUUCCUCUGAAAGAGACACUACCUUCUUUAUAUUAGACAAUAAAUUAAACUGCUCUUUGCUGCAGAGGAGGAUACCAUAUUGUCUAAGGCUGUUCACUAUACAGACAUCCCUGAUAAGACAGUCCAGAACAAAGGGCAAUCAGUGUCUCUCUUAUCUUUUAAUUUUUAAAGCAUUCACUUAUUAAUUUAAAAAUCUCUGUUAUACCUGCAGUACUCCCACUUCUCAUUCCUAGUAGCUUAUUUUUACUUCAUCACUUUUUCCCUUAUUCAAUCUUACCAGAGGUUUGUUCAGUUUGUCAAUGUUUCCAAAUACCAACACUUCAUUUUAUUGCUUCUGUACUUGACUUUUUUUUUUUAUUUCAUAGCUUUCUGUUCUUUUUGAUAUUAUUUUCCUUUUCCAACUUUCAUCGGGUUCAUUUAUUAUUUAGUUAUGGUAGUUAAAAUUUUUUAUGAUACCUUUCUCUUUAACUCCUGAAU